CAGCAGCCGCGGGAACACGAAGGGGGCUAGCGUUGCUCGGAAUGACUGGGCGUAAAGGGCGCGUAGGCGGCGAUCAAAGUCAGGCGUGAAAUUCCUGGGCUCAACCUGGGGGCUGCGCUUGAUACUUGGUUGCUUGAGUGGGGAAGAGGGUCGUGGAAUUCCCAGUGUAGAGGUGAAAUUCGUAGAUAUUGGGAAGAACACCGGUGGCGAAGGCGGCGACCUGGUCCUUGACUGACGCUGAGGCGCGAAAGCGUGGGGAGCAAACAGGAUUAGAUACCCCUGUAGUCCCUGUCUCUUAUAC
rnacentral:rRNA from 1 species